rnacentral:rRNA from 1 species
GAUGAACGCUAGCUACAGGCUUAACACAUGCAAGUCGAGGGGAAACGGCAUUAAGUGCUUGCACUUUUUGGACGUCGACCGGCGCACGGGUGAGUAACGCGUAUCCAACCUUCCCAUGACUAAGGGAUAACCUGCCGAAAGGCAGACUAAUACCUUAUGGUCUUCACUGACGGCAUCAGAUGUGAAGUAAAGAUUUAUCGGUUAUGGAUGGGGAUGCGUCUGAUUAGCUUGUUGGCGGGGUAACGGCCCACCAAGGCAACGAUCAGUAGGGGUUCUGAGAGGAAGGUCCCCCACAUUGGAACUGAGACACGGUCCAAACUCCUACGGGAGGCAGCAGUGAGGAGUAUUGGUCAAUGGGCGAGAGCCUGAACCAGCCAAGUAGCGUGCAGGAUGACGGCCCUAUGGGUUGUAAACUGCUUUUGUAUGGGGAUAAAGUCAAUCACGUGUGAUUGUUUGCAGGUACCAUACGAAUAAGGACCGGCUAAUUCCGUGCCAGCAACCGCGGUAAUACGGAAGGUCCGGGCGUUAUCCGGAUUUAUUGGGUUUAAAGGGAGCGUAGGCUGGAGAUUAAGUGUGUUGUGAAAUGUAGACGCUCAACGUCUGACUUGCAGCGCAUACUGGUUUCCUUGAGUACGCACAACGUUGGCGGAAUUCGUCGUGUAGCGGUGAAAUGCUUAGAUAUGACGAAGAACUCCGAUUGCGAAGGCAGCUGACGGGAGCGCAACUGACGCUGAAGCUCGAAGGUGCGGGUAUCGAACAGG